rnacentral:rRNA from 1 species
UACGGAGGGUGCGAGCGUUGUCCGGAAUCAUUGGGCGUAAAGGGCGCGUAGGUGGCCCGGUCAGUCUUUGGUGAAAGCGCGGGGCUCAACCCUGCGUCGGCCAGGGAUACUGCCGCGGCUCGAGCACUGUAGAGGCAGGCGGAAUUCCGGGUGUAGCGGUGGAAUGCGCAGAUAUCAGGAGGAACACCGGUGGCGAAGGCGGAUCUCUGGGCCGAUACUGACGCUGAGGAGCGAAAGCGUGGGGAGCGAACAGG